rnacentral:rRNA from 1 species
UACGUAGGGUGCAAGCGUUAAUCGGAAUUACCGGGCGUAAAGCGUGCGCAGGCGGUUCGUUAAGUUCGUUGUGAAAGCCCCGGGCUCAACCUGGGAACUGCAAUGGAAACUGGCGGGCUUGAGUGUGGCAGAGGGGGGUGGAAUUCCACGUGUAGCAGUGAAAUGCGUAGAGAUGUGGAGGAACACCGAUGGCGAAGGCAGCCCCCUGGGCUAACACUGACGCUCAGGCACGAAAGCGUGGGGAGCAAACAGG